UUGAUUGAAAAAAGGAAAUCAAUGUACAUACUACCAAGUCUGAAUUUAAAGCUGAGAGCCAUCGAAUCCGUAGUCUGCAUCAACAAAGUGUAAAUCCCUGUUAAAUACCAUACUUCAGAAGGUGAGGACAGCCUCAUAUACUAAAAUUGAAAUACAUCGAGAGUAGAGUUAUUUUCUUUCCAUCGACACCCUCAAACUAACGCAUGUUAAUACAGUUGAUGGUUUAUUUACAAACAUGAAUUAAAGCAUCAAGUGAAAAGAAAAUCAUCAAGUUCUCAGCCAUUGCAGUAAAUAUUUGAGACCUUUUCAUGGUCUUUGCUUCUUCAAGACAACAAAGAUCCCCUACAAUAGAGUUCUCAUGCUCCACAUUUAGCACCAAGUAAUACCCUAGUAAUACCCUUGUGUCACUUGACAUGAUUUGAAGUAGAGUGCAAGUUAAAGAAUAGUACUUGCCUAGAAUAUAAAAGAUGCAAAACAAGAUUCACAAGCAUAUGAACGCUAGGAAAAGAAUUAUUAUAUUGAUGAAUGAAUAGCUAGUACUUUGUGAGAAAAAAAUUAACUGGUGAUUCUUACGUCUAACGAAUCAACUUAUUACAACACGCAAUAUUAACCAUCUCACAGGAAACAGUAAAACAACUACCAGGAGAAAUAUCACAAGCUAAAUAGGGUUAGGUAACCAUCUGAUAUUAGGAUUUCUAUAAGCACUCCUAUUAUAGGUUUGACUCGGUAUGACUCUGAAAUCCUCAAAUCAUCGUGGGAAUCCGAUGAGCAACAACUGUGAGAUUCCAGGCAUACAGGCCCCUCAUUCAGAUAUUUAGGUCAUUAUUCAUUGACAAAUCAACCAAUUAACCAACAAAGUUGUUCUAAUGGGCAUUUUAUAUGAAGCUUGUUGAAACAAGGAUGUGUCAGCGAUGUUUUAAGAUAUUAGAGCAGAAAGGGCUGUCCAGGUCCUUUUAAAGUUAACAAUUGAUCGUCCUUUGUGAGACAUGGUCUGAAAAAACUUUAAGAUAACAAUAUAGAUCAAGUAAAGAGGGGGCAAAAUUUUGUGGGCAAGUUAACAUGACAGACCUAAGGACCCACUUUCUCUCAAAUUGAACAUAAUGAGGAGAAACAAGCUAAAGAACUUUGAUCGUAAGAAUUCAAUGUUGUACCUUCAUUAGUUUUAAAAUAUACAUUACGUUUGCAGUACAAAGACAUAUUAUAGUUGAAGCAAGUCAAUAACUUCCAUUGCUUAAAAUCAAUCCCAAUAUGUCCAGGUUCUCUUUGUCAGGAAUUAGACAGUAGACACAAUGACUUGCUUAAAAUCAUGCCUUAAUAAAAGAUAUGAGAUAUUUUUUUUACAUUUACUGUAUUAUCUGGUGACAAAAAUGGCCUGUGCUGAUAAAGUUUAGUCAAAAAUAAGUAGCAAUCAAACAGCAGCAGCAACAUAUCAAGUCAUAUGGUAUCCUCCUAUCAGCUAUGAAGAUCACUAGCUGUGAAUAUUUGGAGAGGGUUAGUAUGGUUAGGGGUUUAUAAAUAGCUUCUAAAUGUCAUCUUGAUUUUCCUUUUCCUCUGGAUCCUUCGUGUAUCGUCUCCCUUCCCUCAUUCCCUUCAUUCUCAUAUCAGGUCUUAAAAAGAUACGAAUGGGCGUGCAAUAGAUCAACCAACAAAUAAGCAAACAGUACAAAAUGUGCUAGAAUACUACAGGUAGGAGGAUGACUGGAUAACAAAUUCCCAAGGCGACAUUUGUUUUUUUUGGUGAAUGGCAGAGGUUACACUAUCCUCUGAAAGAUGCAACCACAACGUCAGCAACAACAAAAUCUCUAAGGGAUGGUGGUAGGCUAGAUUCCAACCAAUCCAUAGAGUUCUCCAUGUCUAUAUCCAGAUUUGAGAGGACAUUAGCUACAUGAUUACCCUCUCCAUACACAUUGGAAAUUAAAAAAAAAAAACUCUUGAUUCCGUGAGAUGAGGCCAAUGCCAAGCAAACAAGGAUGAGCAGAACUAGUUGUUGUUGACACUUGCAGAAUGAAUCUCACCACCAUCAUGGAGUCCCAAGUAGCUCUGCUUGGGGGACUGCCAUGAGAUUUAAAGGAGUAACCAAAGCUUGAAUGACAUACGCAUGAACAUCCUGAACAACAAAGACAGCACUGACCUUAAAGAUUGAUUUAAAGGUGACAGGUUUGAUGGGUGAGCUAAAUCAAUGCUCGAGGAUGCAUAAGCACUGAUAGAGGUCAAGAGCAGUUCAACACCAUAAAGAGACUGUUACCAGAAAGCCACAAAGAAAAUAGAAACAGAAUAAAGAACUCGGCACAAGAUGGAAAUAUAGUUAGAGAACUAGGCAUUAAGAUAUGUAGGACCAGAUUGGCAUUUAAGUCUUGCAACAAAAUUUCUAGAUGAUGAAGCAAGUUGAGACAAUUAAGCCGGAUGCAGUCAGUGCUCAUAAAGUAUUUAGCACAUGACUGCAAAUUAGAUUAGUAAUAAGCAAGGACAGACCUAUGCAUUGUUCAAGCAUUUUUACUGGGUAUGCGAGAGAAAGCCAAAUGUGUUAAAGUCAACUAGCAUUAGCCAGUAGAUAUACAUGUUUCUCCAUAAAAAGGAGUAUAAUUCGAGCAGAAAGAAAGUAUCCUAGAUGCUCAACAAUAUUAUUUGAUAGAAGGGGACAAGUAGAAAAUCUUAUAUUGCAUCAAAACAAGAUCCACGAAAUCUACCAAGUUCAAGAUGCACCUAAACAAAUAAAUGGAUCUAACCAAAUAAGCAAAAUCUCAGACGAUCUUCAGGGUAACAGAAACAUAUGUAGGGUAUUCUAGAUAAACAUGAAAUUAACCAAGCACCAUUAGCCAACUAAAUAGGGAUUAUGUCAUAAUGUUAAAUAGUUAUAUUGAUUUGGAUAUUCGCGAAAGAUCUCAAUCAAGUCUGAUUGUCGUCCAAACCGAUUAUCUUAGGGAUAUCUUAGAACAGUUAAAAUCAAAUCUCAUGUUUUGUUAAAUCGUGCCCUCGGAUGCUGAUGCAAGUAUGCAUGUGUAUGGCUCCUAGAACCCAUUGUAUUCGGGACAAAGCUACAAGUUCUAGGGAGACACUAUAGUUGAACUACAAGAUGACUUAUGCACCAUUCUAUUCAAUUAGUAAAAACCGACAAGUUAACUGGAAACAAGCAAAUUUCCACAAUAAAACAAGGGAUUCAUAAAUUCAAAUGUUACUCCAAACUUGGUACAGUAAUAUGCGGUACAUAGCAUCAUCUGUAUGCAGGAUAAAUGGGGGGCGAAGUAAUUUCGAAAUGGAAUCAAUCAUUCCCAUUCCGUGCUUCCUACCGAUAGAUCAAGUGGAUUGUUUUAUGUUGUACAAGAAUAAAGCAUAGAAAUCUCCAAUGAGUGGAAUCAGAUUGAGUUGGUACCUUAGGGCUGGGGAGGUGAAGAGGGAAAUUAGGGCUGGUAGAGACAGGCACGAGAGGAGGAGGAGUAGGAGGACGAGGAGGAGAUGGGUUCCUUGGAGGG
rnacentral:lncRNA from 1 species